ensembl:lncRNA
GACUUCUUUACUGAUUCACAACCACAGGUAUACACAUGACGUUUUGUGCAUACUGAGUAUGCGUACUACAAACAGAGUAUCAGUACGGGGUGUCAUAAGGACAAAAUGUACAACACUUGAAAUGCAAUACACAACAAAAGGGGAACAAAGAAACAUGCCAAGUGAAAAACAAAAAGUGCUUUCAGUAUCUGAGAGUUUCUAUACAGCACAGUUAUGGAUUUUUUUUUUGCUGUUUGAUCAUUACUGGUGACAUCAUAGACAGCAGCAGCUCUAAUAGGCUGCAUUCACUCUAAUGCACAGAUCUGUUUGUGAAAUAUCAGAUGUUUCAUCAUGUCCUCAAGACACAGCUGAUUGUGUUUACAUUAAUUUGGCAUUGAGAUGAAAAUGCAUUUACCACGCACACAGAGUUAUGCACGGUCACAUACCAGGAGCACCUUCAGUAUGAUCACACAAAGUGCAUGUGAACAUUUGAAAGCAGCUGUCUGUCAGUAAGUGUGCUUCAUUCACAGCAUAAAUGAUGCUUACGGAUGCAUUUGGAAGGUAAAACAUGUAAAUACUGGCGGGUGUGCAAUUAAUCCGCUUCAAUUGUGAAACUUCAUACAAGUUUAUAUACUUAUUUGAUGAUGUGUGUUUGUGUGUAAUUGACAAAAAGCAGAAUACGACUGUCUCUAGUGCACAAAAGUGCCAUUGUGCAUAUAUGGACGAGCUAAGCUCAGAACUGAUUCAGAAAUGUUGAAGAGAAUCGAGAUGCAUGAGAGAAUCAGGGUCUGAAUUGAACGAAGCUUGGGGCAAAAAUGACACCAAAAUUGGCAAAAUAUUUAGCAUAUGUACUUCAUGAAUAUAAAAAAAUUAAAAUUCAGGGUAAAUGUAUUGACUCUUUUGUAUAUAUUUGUACAUAACUUACAAGAGUGAUAACACUUUUUUUUUCUCUGUCCCAGAUGGCAGAGGCCUGGCGGGAAGUGGAUGGGGUUCGUUCCCGGGCUCAAGAGCUGCAGUCUCAAGUCGAGGAGCUGCAGGAGGAAGUGGCCCUCCAGGAGAAGAGUCACAACGACUCAUCUUCACUGUCUGAGCUUGAAAACAAUCUGGACGUGGCAGACUGGAGCCUGGACAAAGAGCAGCAGGUCUGUCAGGAGCUGCACUACAUCCUGGAACUGUUUCAGCCUGUGGCCUACAGAUCAGAGUCUGAUCAGGACGCAGAUGACAGCCUGCAGGGCAUGCUGGGACAACUGAAACACGCAGCUCGGUGGAUGAGUGAGACACUACAGGUACAGUUGGGUUCUAGGGGACAGAAACGUGUGCUGCAUAUAACAUAUCUUCCUCCCUGGAGUAUUUUGACAUCUCAUACUGUCUCACAUUUCAGCAACAAUGAUUCACAUUCAUCACAAGCAUACAUCUUCAUACAGUAUGUCUUCAUUCAGACCAUAACGGUUUGGGUCCUCGUGGCUUUUUUGUCAUUGGGUAAAUCUUACAUAACAUUCCUGGAUCAUAUUCCAAACACAUCAAACAGAGGAAAAAAUAAGAUACUUUAAUGUGCUCAAAGAAAAUGAAGCAAUAUAUAUAUAUUCAUUUGUGUUUAUACAUCUUGGUAUAGUGUUGUAUUUGUGUAAAUAAAAUCCACAACCCCUGGAAAAUUUGUGAACA